rnacentral:rRNA from 1 species
CGGGAAAUCUUACCGGGUCCGGACACACUGAGGAUUGACAGGCAAUAUUAAUACGUUUUGCUUCGGUAAUCGUAUUAUGUUAAAUAUGCUAGUCCUUUCAUGAUUAUGUGAUAGGUGGUGCAUGGCCGUUCUUAGUUCGUGGAGUGAUCUGUCUGCUUAAUUGCGUUUCACUAAGGGCCUAUAAAUUUACGUGUGUUGCAUCGCACUUUGACCCCUUUCUUUAAUUAGAGAGCGCGUGUCUUAGUUUUCGCUUUGCUCAUACAAUUAGGUCCUGAAAGCAACGAACGUGACCGCAACCUCUUGUUGCCUUUAUACCAAACAUGUUUUGCGUCAAUUUUCAAAUUGCGCGCAUUUCAUGAAAAAAGGCUUUUUAAACUAGAGGGACCGCUGUUACUUUCUUAAACCAGAGGAAGGUUGCGGCAAUAACAGGUCUGUGAUGCCCUUAGAUGUUCCGGGCUGCACACGUGCUACAAUGAUUAUUGCAGUGAGCAUCUCAUUUUUACACACCGCAUGCGCGAGUCCAUUUAUUCACCUUCGGGUGUUUUAAAUGUGUAUCUCUGCGCGCGGUAAAGCCUGCUUCGACAGUAAGUGGGUAAUCAAUUAGAAGUAAUGAUUUCCUUUUUUUUAGCACACAUAUAUACGGCGUCUAUGCCCGGGUUACCUUGUUGUAGCUUUUGUGCGUAUAGAUGUUUUUUCCGUAUGUGCGAUUGUCAAUUCAUGGUGGGGACAGACCAUUGUUAAUUGUUGGUCUCGGUCUUAACUAGGAAUGCCUUGUACGGGUCUUUGGUUCAACAAACCACCCGGAAUACGUCCCUGCCCUUUGUACACACCGCCCGUCGCUCUUACCGAUGGACUUCUCUGUGAGUUUGAGGGACUGGGAACGCAGGAAUUUAUUUCUGCACACCUAUGGAAACUUAAACGAACAGUGUGGUCUAAAGGAAAGAGAAGUCGUAACAAGGCAUCGGUAGGUGAAC